rnacentral:rRNA from 1 species
GGAUAACUACCCUUUAGGACUGGGAUAACCCUGGGAAACUGGGGCUAAUACCGGAUAGGCAAUUUUUCCUGUAAUGGUUCUUUGUUUAAAUGUUUUUUCGCCUAAGGAUGGGUCUGCGGCCGAUUAGGUAGUUGGUUAGGUAAUGGCUUACCAAGCCGUUGAUCGGUACGGGUUGUGAGAGCAAGAGCCCGGAGAUGGAACCUGAGACAAGGUUCCAGGCCCUACGGGGCGCAGCAGGCGCGAAACCUCCACAAUGUGAGAAAUCGCGAUGGGGGGAUCCCAAGUGCCAUUCUUAACGGGAUGGCUUUUCAUUAGUGUAAAAAGCUUUUGGAAUAAGAGCUGGGCAAGACCGGUGCCAGCCGCCGCGGUAACACCGGCAGCUCUAGUGGUAGCAACUUUUAUUGGGCCUAAAGCGUCCGUAGCCGGUUUAAUAAGUCUCUGGUGAAAUCCUGUAGCUUAACUGUGGGAAUUGCUGGAGAUACUAUUAGACUUGAGACCGGGAGAGGUUAGAGGUACUCCCAGGGUAGAGGUGAAAUUCUGUAAUCCUGGGAGGACCGCCUGUUGCGGAGGCGUCUAACUGGAACGGUUCUGACGGUGAGGGACGAAAGUUAGGGGCGCGAACCGGAUUAGAUACCCGGGUAGUCCUAACUGUAAACGAUGCGGACUUGGUGUUGGGGUGGCUUUGAGCUGUUCCAGUGCCGAAGGGAAGCUGUUAAGUCCGCCGCCUGGGAAGUACGGUCGCAAGACUGAAACUUAA